GUGUUGUUCGGAUUUACUGGGCGUAAAGGGCGCGUAGGCGGCCAGCACAAGUCAGUUGUGAAAUCUCCGAGCUUAACUCGGAAAGGUCAACUGAUACUGUGCGGCUAGAGUGCGGAAGGGGCAACUGGAAUUCUUGGUGUAGCGGUGAAAUGCGCAGAUAUCAAGAGGAACACCUGCGGCGAAGGCGGGUUGCUGGGCCGACACAGACGCUGAGGCGCGAAAGCCA
rnacentral:rRNA from 1 species